rnacentral:rRNA from 1 species
ACGUAGGGGGCAAGCGUUAUCCGGAAUUACUGGGUGUAAAGGGAGCGUAGACGGUGAGGUAAGUCUGGAGUGAAAGGCAGGGGCCCAACCCCUGGACUGCUCUGGAAACUAUCCCACUAGAGUGCAGGAGAGGUGAGCGGAAUUCCUAGUGUAGCGGUGAAAUGCGUAGAUAUUAGGAGGAACACCAGUGGCGAAGGCGGCUCACUGGACUGUAACUGACGUUGAGGCUCGAAAGCGUGGGGAGCAA